AUUCUUCAAAUACCUUAGGAAGUUUAACACUUUAGAAACCAACUCAUGAUUCAUGGGGGUGGUGCGAAGGUGACCUUAUUCUCAUGGUGGGAAACACUGAUUUCUGAUUUAGGUUUUGCUAGGGAUUGAGUCCGAAUCAUGGAUGACCUUUACUCAAAAGAUGACAAAUAAUAGCAGAUAUGCAUUCCUAACUUUCGUACAAACUUUGAUGAUAGGUUGUAAUAGUUUUCCUUGGCUAGAUGAUAAUUAAUUUAGCUUGAUGAAAAACUAGCUGGUUGGACAAGUCGAGUGAUGCUGGGGCAGUUAUGACUUUUCACCUUCGAAAGUUUAUAAAAAGGCGUGAAACCAUCUGAAUUUAGUUUAGUCUCGCCCGAAAACAGUUUCAAAGCUCUCUGAACCAUUGCUUAUCACAUACUAUGGAUGGAGAUGACUUCCUUCCUUUUGCUCCCAACUCUCCAAUUAGUUUUGAUGAGCACAAUACUGGAUAGAGACAGCUCCUCGGUGACAAUAUUGAAGAGGCUCUUGUCUUUGCCAUUAUAGAAGACUUGGACAUGGAGCUUGCGUAUGCCAUGGUACACGGUAGAAGCUAUAGUAGGGGCCGGGGUAAAACUUAGAGCCAUGGUAAGGGCCGUGGACAAACGGUAGGCUAUGGACGUGUUUAUGGCCGUUGGUACAGGCCAAGCCAAGGCUCCAGUGAAGGCCGAAGCCAUUAGACGUAGACGCGGACGAGGACCCUUACCUCCAAGGCCCCUACCUCUACACUUUCCAAACCUUCCUGAUAACGUUACUCUUUUGAUACUCAAAACUGCUAUGGCUUUACUCAUACUUUCUCGAUAUUUCUCCUAUUCUUGUGGAGGAGAUUGAGUGGGCAGUACCCCGAUCAUUGUACUUUGAUGGCUCACUUUGUCCUCGUCACUGCCAUACCUGCGGCUUUACCUACUACAACCGGUUCUUCAACACUAUUAUUGCCAAAUGGGUAACUGGAACUCAAACUGAUCUUUGUUCCUUCUAUAUUUCUUUAUCCACAUAGUUCAGUAUUCUCUGUUUACAGAUUGAUUGGCAUCCAUGGAUGACCAUGCCUCAUGCUAUGAGAGAGAUACACGGUGUCUUGGGCGACUUCCUGGAUGAGGAUCCUUCUGGAGGACCCCUUCUGCAGAUUGUGGUAUUUAGGAGAGCAUUUCUCGCACCAGAGAUAGGGCUAGCCUGCUCCAAAUGUACUUUUUCACUGCCUUCUUGCGGACUCACAUCAUGUCUCCUCUCACCGAGGGCACUGCUCGUGUCCUUGGAGCUGGCAUUGCUACUACUGCUGUUGCCUCUACCAUCCUCUCGAGCUUCUUGAGACGCGCGUGCUUACAUUGCCCUGGAUGUGGAGCAGAUAUAUACAUCUCUUGUAAUUUUGUCAGUCAUUUCUCAUUGCUUUAUUCUAUUACUGAUGUUCUCAUUCUACUUGCAGACCCUAAUAACCAGAGCCUCUGGCUGAUCGAGACAUUGGUUCAUAUGGUACAGAGGAGACAGUACGCUCUUGCCUCUGUCGGGAUUCAGGUGUCCCACUUUUCAAUCUGAUCUUUACUUUCCAUGCUGUUUGUCUAUUCUAAUUUACUCUGAUUGAUUGUUUUCAACUCAGUACUAGCCACUCUGAUAUUCUAUAGCCAAUUUAUAAUAUUAUGGCCAAUUUUGUU